AGGGCACCACCAGGAGUGGAGCCUGCGGCUUAAUUUGACUCAACACGGGAAAACUUACCUGGUCAGGACACUGGAAGGAUUGACAGAUUGAGAGCUCUUUCUUGAUUCAGUGGGUGGUGGUGCAUGGCCGUUCUUAGUUGGUGGAGCGAUUUGUCUGGUUAAUUCCGAUAACGAACGAAACUCUAGCCUACUAAAUAGACUGCUCAACUUUAUAGCUGCAUCACCUUGCAGUGGCUUCGGUUGCUGUAAGGCUGUGGUGACGUUGGCAGUGCUUCUUAGAGGGACAGGCGGCGGUUCAGCCGCACGAAACAGAGCAAUAACAGGCCUGUGAUGCCCUUAGAUGUCCAGGGCCGCACGCGCGCUACACUGAAGUGAUCAGCGUGCAAUUAACGUUUCCUACUCCGUCAGGAGUGGGUAACCCGUUGAACCUUCUUCGUGAUUGGGAUAGGGGAUUGUAAUUAUUCCCCUUGAACGAGGAAUUCCCAGUAAGCGCAAGUCAUAGGCUUGCGUUGAUUACGU
rnacentral:rRNA from 1 species